rnacentral:rRNA from 1 species
CGAAGCGUGCGAUUGGAUUGCACGUCUAAGCAGUAAGGCUGAGUAUUAGGCAAAUCCGGUACUCGUUAAGGCUGAGCUGUGAUGGGGAGAAGACAUUGUGUCUUCGAGUCGUUGAUUUCACACUGCCGAGAAAAGCCUCUAGAUAGAAAAUAGGUGCCCGUACCGCAAACCGACACAGGUAGUCAAGAUGAGAAUUCUAAGGUGAGCGAGCGAACUCUCGUUAAGGAACUCGGCAAAAUGACCCCGUAACUUCGGGAGAAGGGGUGCUCUUUAGGGUUAACGCCCAGAAGAGCCGCAGUGAAUAGGCCCAAGCGACUGUUUAUCAAAAACACAGGUCUCUGCUAAACCGUAAGGUGAUGUAUAGGGGCUGACGCCUGCCCGGUGCUGGAAGGUUAAGAGGAGUGGUUAGCUUCUGCGAAGCUACGAAUCGAAGCCCCAGUAAACGGCGGCCGUAACUAUAACGGUCCUAAGGUAGCGAAAUUCCUUGUCGGGUAAGUUCCGACCCGCACGAAAGGCGUAACGAUUUGGGCACUGUCUCAACGAGAGACUCGGUGAAAUCAUAGUACCUGUGAAGAUGCAGGUUACCCGCGACAGGACGGAAAGACCCCGUGGAGCUUUACUGUAGCCUGAUAUUGAAAUUCGGCACAGCUUGUACAGGAUAGGUAGGAGCCUUUGAAACGUGAGCGCUAGCUUACGUGGAGGCGCUGGUGGGAUACUACCCUAGCUGUGUUGGCUUUCUAACCCGCACCACUUAUCGUGGUGGGAGACAGUGUCAGGCGGGCAGUUUGACUGGGGCGGUCGCCUCCUAAAAGGUAACGGAGGCGCUCAAAGGUUCCCUCAGAAUGGUUGGAAAUCAUUCAUAGAGUGUAAAGGCAUAAGGGAGCUUGACUGCGAGACCUAC